GAGUUUGAUCCUGGCUCAGGAUGAACGCUAGCGGGAGGCCUAACACAUGCAAGCCGAGCGGUAUUGUUUCUUCGGAAAUGAGAGAGCGGCGUACGGGUGCGGAACACGUGUGCAACCUGCCUUUAUCUGGGGGAUAGCCUUUCGAAAGGAAGAUUAAUACUCCAUAAUAUAUUGAUUGGCAUCAAUUAAUAUUGAAAGCUCCGGCGGAUAGAGAUGGGCACGCGCAAGAUUAGCUAGUUGGUGAGGUAACGGCUCACCAAGGCGAUGAUCUUUAGGGGGCCUGAGAGGGUGAUCCCCCACACUGGUACUGAGACACGGACCAGACUCCUACGGGAGGCAGCAGUGAGGAAUAUUGGUCAAUGGGUGCAAGCCUGAACCAGCCAUCCCGCGUGAAGGACGACUGCCCUAUGGGUUGUAAACUUCUUUUGUAUAGGGAUAAACCUACCCUCGUGAGGGUAGCUGAAGGUACUAUACGAAUAAGCACCGGCUAACUCCGUGCCAGCAGCCGCGGUAAUACGGAGGGUGCAAGCGUUAUCCGGAUUUAUUGGGUUUAAAGGGUCCGUAGGCGGACUUAUAAGUCAGUGGUGAAAGCCUGUCGCUUAACGAUAGAACUGCCAUUGAUACUGUAAGUCUUGAGUAUAUUUGAGGUAGCUGGAAUAAGUAGUGUAGCGGUGAAAUGCAUAGAUAUUACUUUAGAACACCAAUUGCGAAGGCAGGUUACCAAGAUAUAACUGACGCUGAGGGGACGAAAGCGUGGGGAGCGAACAGGGAUUAGAUACCCCUGGUAGUCCACGCCGUAAACGAUGCUAACUCGUUUUUUGGGCUUUAGGGUUCAGAGACC
rnacentral:rRNA from 1 species